GCCAAGCUGCUCUGGGGGGGCUCCCCCUGUUCUACAGAAGGGCUGGAAAUUGGGGGGGGGGGGGGAGGGGGCUGGAAAAGCAGGACACCCCUGCAAACCCCACUCUGGUGUAUUGAUAUUCAGUGUAGAGAGAGGGGUGUAAAUUCAGUGCUAUCUCCUCGCCGCUCACCGUUUAUGCCGUUCAUUUCACAUAGAUGUCACUACUGCCUUAUAAGCACUCCUCCGAGCCAGCCGCUUAAAUGGACCCAGUGCAUUAUAGUAAUGGAGUAACUGUAUAAAAACAAUGAAAUCCAAUCUCUUUAAACUGAUUUGAUGUCUGCCUGAACCACAACAUUUCCUGCUAAUGGCUUCCUUCAUUUUGUAACCGUGAUCUCCACCUGAUCAGAUUACAGCUGUUUUUAAUUACAAAGCUAAUAGAGUUUGUAGGCAGUGUCGGGAGGAUGGCGCAUGCCCCAGGCAGAGAGGAGCUGGUGGGGGCUUGAGGUGGUUGUGCUGACAGUCAGCCUAUGGAGCAGACUGUCACAACACUAGGAUGGGGACAGAGUAGGGAUGUUGGUGCCAUCUGACUGCUGCAGCUGAUGGGGCAGGAAACAGCACUGAGGAUGACUGAUAGUGGAAAAUGUCCUCAAGAUUGAUGUCUUUCUUAUGGGAUAGCGCAGCCAGCUGCAGGGUUGGAUUCCUCCACCUCAGCCUGGAUGGUGGAGCCCUGGGGAGUAUCUGUGCAGCUCAUCCUGCUCCCCAAGGGCCUCGUUUUGUCCAGCAGUCAGUCAGUUUGUUUGCUGAUUGCUCUAUUGCUGUGGGUUAGGAGCACAGAGCAGAGUAACAGUGGGGAGAGAAGCAGUUUGAAAUCUGUUUCCAAACGGUGAUGGCCAAGGAUGUUUGAUGCCCUGAAAAAACACUGUGGUGUGCUAGAGAUGCUUCUCAGUAGCCCAUACUGGUGUUUAGGAUUGAGCUGAUGUUGGGUUCAGCUGAAAAAUGUCAGCAGCGAAGGAGAGCAGCAUCUCCAGGUUGAAGCCAUGUCCUGCUGGAGGAAUCUCCCAUUUGGGGUGCUGGAGUUGUUCUUGUGCCUACAGUAGUAAGCAAUCCACUUCCAGCAGCUGGGACAAGGGGAGGACAAGGCAGGAAGAACCCCAGAGCCCCAUGGGGAAGUUCAUGCUAUUGAGACCUGCUUUGGAGCUGCUCCCACUGCCUGCUUCAUCACACUGCUCAGGAUGUUCGUCCUCCACUGCCUCGGUGCAGGAGUUGCUUGUGCCAGUGACACCAACAUGAGCUGCCAAAACACCAAACACCAACAGCCAGUCCUGCCCAGAAGAGCGGAACGUGGGGACUCACCAUCUCCUCCCCAUAGCUUGGCACUCUGAGGUUAGUGAGAGUGUUCUCAGAGCAAACCCCAUCCUACACGAGCCGUUGCUGGUGAGACCCACCUGCGUGCACUGUGCUGCAGAGCAGGAUCAGCACCGCCAUCCAGACUCUGCCUGUGCCUGGUGCACAAAACCAUGUGUUUGAGGAAGUACUUCUGGAGUUUGAAAAGCAUUGCUGGGGUUUGAGCUGGCUGCGGGUGGAAGGACUGAGCCUGGAAGGAAACCCCGUGUGAAAUCCCCAGCCUGCUUUGCAGAUGCUGGGCUGGUUUUAGGCAGAUGUCUGAAACACUCCUGGUGGGCUCGGUGCCUCGCUGCAGUAAAUAUAGGGGGGAGCUGGAAGAAGUGGGGAGAGCCCUGAUAUCUUCCAGGAGCUGCCUCAGGAGAGAGACUGGACCAGCCUGAAGAGCCAAAGUCCAGCAGCACAGCUGGGGACACAAACAUCCCACACACAGGACUAUUUUGAUGGAGCUGGAGAAGUGAUGACACAAAUAGCUGAUGACACAAAUAGUUCUGCUGGCAGAGCAGCAGAGGUGGCAACCUCUGGAUGGGAUCCAUGAGCAGCAGCUGCAGACAGGCACCUCUUCAUGGAGCUGGAGCAGGAUGUACAACGCAGGGCUCCUGUCACCAUUCCUCCAGUAUCACCAGGAAAGCUGUGACCCAGAUGAGCCGCAGCCUCCUUCCUCAGCAUCAGCACUCAGAGCCACAUCCAGAGAGCCUGCAGACACAUCUGCCCUCUCCUCUGUGUCGGAGUUCCUCUGCAUCUUGUUGACAGCUGACAAACAUUCCAGCUAGAAUACCUUUGCUGAGCUUCUGGGUGGAAAAAAAAGGAGGAUUUACCUGAGUCCAACCCAUCUGCACGUGCUGAAAACAGAGAGGAUCAGCGAAACUGGAACUGUUCAGAACCACACAUUACUUCCAUGUGCCGUGAACGGAGCUCUCAGGCUCAUCAGAGGAAGACCAGAAUGAAUUCCACCACCGUGGCCUCACCUUGCUGGCAUUGCAGUUUUACAUACUCGGGUUGAAAGUGCAAAGAGGCAAUAGGGAGAUAGAGAGCGCUGACUUCACCCUGCACUGCACAACACAACACAGGGAAGGUGUCAGGUGUUGCACAGAGCUUCAUGGCACAUCUCCACACCCAGCUCAGAUGUGUCCUUGUGGAUGAGAGUCUCCGGUUGAUCCCUACCUCAGUUAUGGAGGUCCCAGGCUGUAUGGCAGCAGGAAGAUGCCCACAUAGC